ensembl:lncRNA
AUGGCAUUCAUUGACCCUGCAAAGGCAUUUGACACGGUGAAUCGCAGCGCUCUCUGGACCAUCCUCCAAAAAAUCUGGUGCCCUGACAAAUUUGUGAACAUCCUGCGGCUCCUCCAUGAUGACAUGAUGGCAACAGUCUUGGACAGCAAUGGCUCCCAAAGUGACCCAUUUAAGGUAGAAUCAGGUGUCAAGCAGGGAUGUGUUAUUGCCCCUACCUUAUUUUCCAUCUUCAUCGCUAUGAUACUUCACCUUGUUGAUGGCAAGCUUCCUACCGGUGUGGAAAUCAUCUAUCAGACAGAUGGCAAGCUAUUUAACCUCAGCAGACUGAAAGCCAAAACCAAGGUCACCACAACAUCUAUUAUAGAAUUCCAAUAUGCCGAUGACAAUGUAAUCUGUGCGCAUUCAGAAGAAGACAUACAAGCCACUCUCAACACCUUUGCAGAAGCAUAUGAGAAGCUCGGCCUCUCAUUGAGCAUAGAGAAAACCAAAGUGCUCUUCCAACAGGCACCAGCUACUCCCUCUGCAAUGCCAGGAAUACAGCUUAAUGGUGUAAUAUUAGAAAAUGUUGACUUUUGUGGAGAGGUGGUUGCCAAGGUAGCGGAAAUGGUCAACAUCGACACUGAAAUACAACACCGCCUGAGCUCUGCGAGUGCAGCAUUUUUCCGUAUAAAGCAGAGAGUGUUUGAUGACCGGGACAUCCGUAGAGAUACCAAGGUGCUUGUCUAUAAAGCCAUUGUCCUCCCAACCAUGCUCUAUGCCUGCGAAAUGUGGACUGUCUACAGACAUCACACCAAACUCCUGGAGCGUUUCCAUCAGUGUUGCCUCAGGAAAAUCCUGCAAAUCUCUUGGGAAGACAGGCAGACAAAUGUCAGCGUGCUGGAAGAAGCAAAGACCACCAGCAUUGAAGCAAUGCUCCUACGCCAUCAACUCUGCUGGACUGGCCACGUUGUCCGAAUGCCCGAUCACCGUCUCCCAAAGCAGCUCCUCUACUCCGAACUCAAGAAUGGGAAACAGAAUGUUGGUGGGCAGGAAAAGAGAUUUAAAGAUGGGCUCAAAGCCAACCUUAAAAACUGUGGCAUAGACACUGACUCUUGAGCACUCCAACUGGAGGUCAGCUGUAACCAGCAGUGCUGCGGAGUUCGAAGAGGCCCGAACGGAGGGCUUAAGGGAGAAACGUGCCAAGAGGAAGGCCCGUCAAACCAACCCCGACCGGGACCGCCUUCCACCUGGAAACUGAUGUCCUCACUGCGGGAGAAUAUGCGGGUCAAGAAUAGGUCUCUUCAGCCACCUAAGAACCCACCCCCAAGACACCAAGGAUGGAAGACUAUCGUCCUCGAACUACGAGGGAUCGCCUAAGUAAAGUAAGCUAUAUAUUUGCAAAUAACAAGAAUAACAACAAUCUGUGCCAUUUGGUUCAUUACAUUAGAGAGUGGGUAACUCUGGUUCAAACGCACACUGUGCUUCACCUUAAAACCAAAUUAGUGUUCUGCCUCUGAAGUAUAGUUAGCUUUCCAUAUCCAUGGAUUCUAUAUCAAAAGAUUUCACUAUUAAUGGCUUGAAAAUAUUUUAAAAAAUGAAUUCCUAAAAAUAAGAAUUGAUUUUAUGUAUUAGCGAUAGAAUUUUAUUAUGUUAUUGUAUACAAUGGGACUUGAGCAUCCUGGGAUGUUGGCAUCCAAUGAGGAAGCAGGGGUUCUGGAAGCAAACCUCAGAGAAUAUCAAGGACCCAAUGACCUUUUUAAAACUAUACUUUUUGUUAAAUUUCACAUAGUGUGCACAUAUAACCAAAGCUAGAGCAGGGACUCAAAGUUGAUCCAACCCUUGGAGGUUGGAUCUAUGUUAUGCAGCCUAUAAAAUGAAUUACUUCUCUGUCUGUCUGUGUCUCUCUUUGAAAUCUUGCAUGUCUCAUUCUUUCACAAUAAACAGGAAUGCACAAAACCUUUCUACUCACAAGUGUGUGCAAGAGAGAGAGAGAGAGAGAGAGAGAGAGAAUUUGCACAUUUGCUAGAAGGGUUUUUGUGCCUUAUUCCUUAUCACAUGCACUGUUUAAAAUGGAAAAUAAUUUGAUGCAUUGCUUAUAUUGUUUUGAGCUGUGUGCUUGGGUAGUUUCACAAAGGGGAAAAAACAACUGGGAGGAGCAAAAUAAAGGCAUUGCUGCUGAAAUAAGUGUUUUGCAUCCUAAGUGAACAAUUUCCUGUCUCAGAUUCUAGCAUCACAUUAACUUAAAAUUUCAGUUGAGAAUUUAGAAAUGUAGUUUAAACAUAUGAAGAAAUAGGGCAGUCAAAGUUGCCAGGGGGUGCAUACAAAGCAAAUGUAAGUUUUAACUAUGAAUUUUUUUUGGGCUCAAUUAAAUGCUAGAAAUUUGGGAAGUGGAGGAAAAUUCCAUGAAAAGGAGGCAAAAUGCUUAUUGGGAGGGCAAUCUCUUCAUUUUGUUCUCCUUGCUAUACCACUACCCAUUCCCGCAAAUAGGAAAUAAUGCCCAUACAUGCAGACAACUCUUCACACAACUCUGUUCCCACUAUGGAAGUGAGUCAGAUAACUGUAUGUAUAAGUGUUUUUAGUCAACUCUGCUUCACACAUAUGCUACUGGGUUGUGUUUGCUGUACUGUGUUUGCUCAGAAGGUAUUGUUUUUCUAGCUGUUUACCAUACUACAUCAUACAGGAAUACAUAUUUUGAAAUGUUGAUGACUGUAUUUAUUUCCCAAUUCAAGGGAAUUUUUGCCCACAUCUUCUUACAGCCUGAAAAUAUCAUUUUGAAUAUUGUAAUGAUUUUUUCAUGCUUUUCUCCAGAACAUCAAGGUCAUAGCUAGGACUUGCAGAGAGAAAAUGCAUCCUGCUGAAUAGCUUGCCUGGCUUCUUGGGAGAACUUUUUUUCUUGUAAGUUGUAAAUGUGCAGUUCUAGUAAUAGAUGCUGAUCAUUUCAGAAAAGUGUUCUUUAACUGCUUACAAUGCUAAAGCAAUUUCAAUAACAGAAUUGCAUUUAAUACUGCUAUAUAGUGGUUUCUCCUAACUCGUUUUAAUUUUCUUAUCAACAGCCAUCUCACCCAUUUUCUGGGGGGAAAGAUACCCCUUAUAUUACAUAUUUAAGGUUUUGAAAGAGCAGAGAAUAUUUGCAACAUAAAUAACUUAAUGGCCAUAGAUUUCAGAAUUCGUU